GAUGAAGAACGUAGCGAAAUGCGAUACUUGGUGUGAAUUGCAGAAUCCCGUGAACCAUCGAGUCUUUGAACGCAAGUUGCGCCCGAAGCCACUAGGCCGAGGGCACGCCUGCCUGGGCGUCACACGCCGUUGCCCCCCCAUCUACUCCUUCGGGAUUGCGGGGGGGCGGAUGAUGGCCUCCUGUGCGCCUAGCCGCGCGGUUGGCAUAUAUACCAAGUCCUCGGCGACGCACGCCACGACAAUCGGUGGUUGCGAAACCUCGGUUGCCCGUCGUGUGCGUUCGUCGCGCAUCGAGGGCUCGAAAAAAUGCUCGGCUCCGGCUGGGCUUUCAACGCGACCCCAGGUCAGGCGGGGUUACCCGCUGAAUUUAAGCAUAUCAAUAAGCGGAGGA
rnacentral:misc_RNA from 1 species